AACUGGCCCCCUGUUUAAAAAGUUUGAGGACCCCUGCUCUACAGUGUUGAACUUCCUUAGGAAUUCAACAGGCCAAGGAGGUUAUGGACUUCAACUGGAACAGCUACCAGCUGAAAGAGUACAAUUUCUCUUUGUCUGGAUGAAAACCAGAUAAACACAGGGAUGGCAGCAGGAAAGUGUUCAUUGCCAGAUGCCCUCCUUGUCUGCCUGAUAGACACCUGACCCAAACCAGGCUGAUCAUUCUUCUGCACUGAGAUUUUGCAUACUAAAGAAAAAGAAGCUAGUGCUUCCCGAUGGAGGAAGGAUAUAGAAUGCAAGUCUGAAGAGCAGUCAGUGGAUUUCUGCCCAUCACCGUAGGAAAAAGAUACUGGCAGUGAGAGAAUAUCCCAAUAUAUAGUGAGGCAAAAAUAAGAGACAGAAGAAUCUUGGUGGUGUUAGAUAAAGUGGAUCCUGUUGUCCUCAGGUGCCAGCUACACUUUCUGCAGAUACAUUACAGUCCUUAGUAUUCCUUCCAAAAUAUUCUUCAUGCCUCAACUAGUUUCAGUUAAAUUUCUAUCAUUUACAACCGAAUAACUACACCCUGACCAAAACAGAUGGAUUAAAGAACUCUGUAAUUACUGUUGAUUUUCUUACAUUAUCAAUAAUGGUACUAUAGUUAUAUAGAAUGUCCUUAUACAGUUGACCACUGUGGGGAUCCACUUAUAUGCAGAUUUUCUUCUGCCUCUGCCACACCUGUGACAGCAAGACCAACCUUUCCUCUUCCUCUUCAGCCUACUCAACAUGAAGACGUUAAGGAUAAGAGAUCCACUUCCACUUCCUUAUGAUUUUUUCUUUAGCUUACUUUACUGUAAGAAUACAGUAUGUAAUAUGUAUUACAUAAAAAAUACCUGUUGAUCAACUGUUAUUAGUAAAGCUUCUGAUCAACAGUGGCCUAUUAGCAGCUAUUUGUUUUUGGGAAGUCAAAAGUUAUAUGCAGAUUUUCAGCUGCAUACCCCUAACUUCUGCGUUGUUCAAGGGUCAACUGCAUGUGGAAAUGAAUGCUAAAGAAUUAGGAAUGAACUAACAUGAGGUCUGCUACUUUUAAAUGAUUCAAAAAACAAAAUAUAUAAAGAAAUAGGGCAAAAAUGUUAACAAUUACUAGGUUUAAGAGUAUAUUAGCUAUUCUUUCUACUUUUCAGUAUGUAUGAAAUGUUCCACAAAAAAAUUCUUGUUAGAGGGGAGACUCUCAAAGUAUGAACAACAUGCCCAGAACUUUGAAAGAUUAGUGAUUUCAGGAAAUGGUACACAGUUUUCCACAGGUAUGGUGGGCAUAUAAGGAAGGUAAAAGGUAGAAAUUUAGCAUUUAUCCUGAAGGCAGUAGGAAACCAUUAAAGGAUUUUUUGAGGAGUGGGGAAAAUGACAUGAUCAGAUUUUGAUAUUAGAAAGAUCUCUGUUGACAGUAUGAACCACAAGUUGGAAAAUGGCAGGCAUGUGUUAAUAGUCUAGAUAAGAUAUGAUGAGGGCCUGAAUUAAGAGGAGAAAGAUAAGCAAUGAGUAUUAGAGAAGAGCAGACAUGAAAAACUGAUAGACUUUCUUUCAGUAAUGGAUUUUCAGGGGGAAGGGAUAGAAUGCUUUGAGGGAAAGAAAAGAAUCCAGGAAGCCUCAGGAUUCUGGUUUUGGUGACUACAUAGUACUAUUCACAGAGAAGGGAGAUAUGGAACUAUGAGCAGGACACACUGAGUUUAAGGUGGUGCUGGAGAUGUGAGCUUUUGACUGGAAUUCUCUUUUGUGUGAUGUGAGACAAGUUUCUUGUAAGUAGCAUAUAUUUUGGUUUUGUUUUUUU